rnacentral:rRNA from 1 species
GAUGAACGCUGGCGGCGUGCCUAAUACAUGCAAGUCGAGCGAACAGACGAGGAGCUAGCUCCUCUGACGUUAGCGGCGGACGGGUGAGUAACACGUGGAUAACCUACCUAUAAGACUGGGAUAACUUCGGGAAACCGGAGCUAAUACCGGAUAAUAUAUUGAACCGCAUGGUUCAAUAGUGAAAGACGGUUUUGCUGUCACUUAUAGAUGGAUCCGCGCCGCAUUAGCUAGUUGGUAAGGUAACGGCUUACCAAGGCAACGAUGCGUAGCCGACCUGAGAGGGUGAUCGGCCACACUGGAACUGAGACACGGUCCAGACUCCUACGGGAGGCAGCAGCAGGGAAUCUUCCGCAAUGGGCGAAAGCUUGACGGAGCAACGCCGCGUGAGUGAUGAAGGUCUUCGGAUCGUAAAACUCUGUUAUUAGGGAAGAACAAAUGUGUAAGUAACUAUGCACGUCUUGACGGUACCUAAUCAGAAAGCCACGGCUAACUACGUG